AGGGAUUUAAGUUAAAAAAACUAAUAGCCUUCAAAGCUUUAAUUGAUACUCAACAAUCAAUCCUUA
rnacentral:tRNA from 1 species